GAUGAACGCUGGCGGCGUGCCUAAUACAUGCAAGUCGAGCGAACGGACGAGAAGCUUGCUUUUCUGAUGUUAGCGGCGGACGGGUGAGUAACACGUGGAUAACCUACCUAUAAGACUGGGAUAACUUCGGGAAACCGGAGCUAAUACCGGAUAAUAUUUUGAACCGCAUGGUUCAAAAGUGAAAGACGGUCUUGCUGUCACUUCUAGCUGGAUCCGCGCUGCAUUAGCUAGUUGGUAAGGUAACGGCUUACCAAGGCAACGAUGCAUAGCCGACCUGAGAGGGUGAUCGGCCACACUGGAACUGAGACGCGGACCAGGCGCCUACGGGAGGCAGCAGAAGGGAAUCGUCCGCAAUAGGCGAAAGCCUGGCGGAGCAACGCCGCGUGAGUGAUGAAGGUGUUGGGAGCGUAAAACUCUGUUAUUAGGGGAGAACAGAUGUGGAAGGAACUGUGCACAGCUUGACGGUAACGAAUCAGAAAGCCACGGCUAACUACGUG
rnacentral:rRNA from 1 species